CACGUUGACCGGGUGACCGCCGCCUCGUCCGCCUAAGGCGGACCUGGGGGAGGAAAGUCCGGGCUCCGCCGGACAGGGUGCUGGGUAACUCCCAGGCCCCGAUAACCGGAUCACCGGAAUCGGGGACGGAAAGUGGCACAGAAACAUACCGUCCGCCUAAGGCGGAUAAGGGUGAAAUCGGACGGUAAGAGCGUCCGGCCGUCUGCGGUGACGCAGCGGCGGCCAAACCCCACUUGGAGCAAGGCCAAAUAGGGGGACCAUGGGUGUCCGGCCCGUCCCCGGGUUGGCUGCUUGACCCCGAUGGCAACAUCGUCCCCUCCGCCUUUGGCGGACUGGGGAGCCUUAAGGCUCAGGCCUUGGGGCGGGCUAGAUAGAUGGUCACCGCCCGGCCCGGCCGCAUUGGGACCUGGUUCCUAAAUGUGACACGGGUAGCAGGUACAGAACCCGGCUUACAGGUCCGCGUGGCUC
rnacentral:RNase_P_RNA from 1 species